rnacentral:rRNA from 1 species
GACGAACGCUGGCGGCGUGCUUAACACAUGCAAGUCGAACGGUGAACCUCUUCGGAGGGGCUCAGUGGCGAACGGGUGAGUAACACGUGGGCAACCUGCCCCCGGCUCUGGGAUAACUCCAAGAAAUUGGGGCUAAUACCCGAUGUUCACCGCUUCUCGCAUGGGUGGUGGUGCAAAGGGUUUCCGGCUGGGGAUGGGCCCGUGGCGUAUCAGCUUGUUGGCGGGGUAGGGGUGUACGAAGGCGACGACGGGUAGCCGGCCUGCGAGGGUGACCGGCCACAAGGGGACUGAGACAGGGCCCAGACUCCUACGGGAGGCAGCGGUGGGGAGUAUUGCGCAAUGGGCGGAAGCGUGACGCAGCGACGCCGCGUGGGGGAUGACGGCCUUCGGGUUAUAAACCUCUGUCAGCAGGGACGAAGCGCAAGUGACGGUACCUGCAGAAGAAGCACCGGCCAACUACGUG